UACGUCCGCUACGUUCUCAAAACUCAGGCAAUUUGAUAAUACCUAGAAUAUCAAAAUCAACUGCGGGCGGCAGAUCCUUUUCCUAUUUGGCGCCUAAACUCUGGAAUAACCUACCUAACAUUGUUCGGGAGGCAGACACACUCUUGCAGUUUAAAUCUAGAUUAAAGACCCAUCUCUUUAACCUGGCAUACACAUAACAUACUAAUAUGCUUUUAAUAUCCAAAUCCGUUAAAGGAUUUUUAGGCUGCAUUAAUUAGGUAAACUGGAACCGGAACACUUCACAUAACACCGUACUUUCUACAUCAUUAGAAGAAUGGCAUCUACGCUAAUAUUUGUCUGUUUCUCUCUUGUUCCGAGGUCACCGUGGCCACCAGAUCCAGUCUGUGUCCAGAUCAGAGGGUCACUGCAGUCACCCGGAUCCAGUACGUAUCCAGACCAGAUGGUGGAUCAGCACCUAGAAAGGACCUCUACUGACCUGAAAGACAGCGGAGACCAGGACAACUAGAGCCCCAGAUACAGAUCCCCUGUAAAGACCUUGUCUCAGAGGAGCACCAGGACAAGACCACAGGAAACAGAUGAUUCUUCUGCACAAUCUGACUUUGCUGCAGCCUGGAAUUGAACUACUGGUUUCGUCUGGUCAGAGGAGAACUGGCCCCCCAACUGAGCCUGGUUUCUCCCAAGGUUUUUUUCUCCAUUCUGUCACCGAUGGAGUUUCGGUUCCUUGCCGCUGUCGCCUCUGGCUUGCUUAGUUGGGGUCACUUCAUCUACAGCGAUAUCGUUGACUUGAUUGCAAAUUAAAACAGACACUAUUUCAACUGAACAGAGAUGACAUCAAUGAAUUCAAUGAUGAACUGCCUUUAACUAUCAUUUUGCAUUAUUGAGACACUGUUUUCCAAAUGAAUGUUGUUCAGUGCUUUGGCGCAAUGUAUUUUGUUUAAAGCACUAUAUAAAUAAAGGUGAUUGAUUGAUUGAUU